UAGAUUAUUCCAUGCAUGUCUCACUAUAAGCUUCUAUACGGCGAAACUGCGAAUGGCUCAUUAAAACAGUUAUAGUUUAUUUGAUGGUCAUUCAUUACAUGGAUAACCGUGGUAAUUCUAUAGCUAAUACUUGCGCUCAAACCCAACUUCUGGGAAGGGUUGUGUUUAUUAGAUACAAAUCUAACCCAGGGCCCGCCUGGUCUUUUGGCGAUUCAUAAAAACCGAACGGAUCCCAUGGCUCCAUCUGGCGAUGAAUCCCUCCUGUUUCUGACAUAUCAUCUUCCGACGGCAGAAUAUUGGCCUACCGUGGCAAUGACGGGUUCGGAAAAUUAGGGUUCGAUUCCGGAGAGGGACCCUGACAAACGGCUACCACAUCUUUUGAAAGCAACAGGCGCGCAAAUUACCCAAUCCUGACACAGGGAGGUAGUGACAAGAAAUAACAAUACGGGGCAUCCGUGUCUUGUAAUUGGAAUGAGUACACUUUAAAUCCCUUUACGAGUACCAAUUGGAGGGCAAGUCUGGUGCCAGCAGCCGCAGUAAUUCCAGCUGCAAUAGCGUAUAUCAAAGUUGUUGCGGUUAAAAAAGCUCGUAGUUGGAUUUAAAGUGAGGACGACCGGUCCGCCCUGUGUGUGAGCAUCUGGCUUGGCCUUGGCAUCUUGUCGGAGAAUGUAGGUGCCCUGGACUGUGUGGUGCGGUAUCCAGGACUUUUACUUUGAGGAAAUUAGAGUGUUUCAAGCAGGCACACGCCUUGAAUACAUUAGCAUGGAAUAAUAAGAUAGGACCUUGGUUCUAUUUUGUUGGUUUCUAGAAAUGAGGUAAUGAUUAAUAGGGAUAGUUGGGGGCAUUCGUAUUUAACUGUCAGAGGUGAAAUUCUUGGAUUUGUUAAAGACGGAUUAGUGCGAAGGCAUUUGCCAAGGAUGUUUUCAUUGAUCAAGAUCGAAAGUUAGGGGAUCGAAGACGAUCAGAUACCGUCCUAGUGUUAACCAUCAACCAUGCCGAUUAGAGAUUGGAGGUUGUUAUCUUUACGACUCCUUCAGCACCCUAUGAGAAAUCAAAGUCUUUGGGUUCCGGGGGGAGUCUGGUCGCAAGGCCGAAA
rnacentral:rRNA from 2 species